rnacentral:rRNA from 1 species
AUUGAACGCUGGCGGCAGGCCUAACACAUGCAAGUCGAACGGUAACAGGAAGAAGCUUGCUUCUUUGCUGACGAGUGGCGGACGGGUGAGUAAUGUCUGGGAAACUGCCUGAUGGAGGGGGAUAACUACUGGAAACGGUAGCUAAUACCGCAUAACGUCGCAAGACCAAAGAGGGGGACCUUCGGGCCUCUUGCCAUCGGAUGUGCCCAGAUGGGAUUAGCUAGUAGGUGGGGUAACGGCUCACCUAGGCGACGAUCUCUAGCUGGUCUGAGAGGAUGACCAGCCACACUGGAACUGAGACACGGUCCAGACUCCUACGGGAGGCAGCAGUGGGGAAUAUUGCACAAUGGGCGCAAGCCUGAUGCAGCCAUGCCGCGUGUAUGAAGAAGGCCUUCGGGUUGUAAAGUACUUUCAGCGGGGAGGAAGGGAGUAAAGUUAAUACCUUUGCUCAUUGACGUUACCCGCAGAAGAAGCACCGGCUAACUCCGUG